ACGGGUGAGUAACGCGUGGGAACGUACCUUUUGGUUCGGAACAACACAGGGAAACUUGUGCUAAUACCGGAUAAGCCCUUACGGGGAAAGAUUUAUCGCCGAAAGAUCGGCCCGCGUCUGAUUAGCUAGUUGGUGAGGUAAUGGCUCACCAAGGCGACGAUCAGUAGCUGGUCUGAGAGGAUGAUCAGCCACAUUGGGACUGAGACACGGCCCAAACUCCUACGGGAGGCAGCAGUGGGGAAUAUUGGACAAUGGGCGCAAGCCUGAUCCAGCCAUGCCGCGUGAGUGAUGAAGGCCCUAGGGUUGUAAAGCUCUUUUGUGCGGGAAGGUAAUGACGGUACCGCAAGAAUAAGCCCCGGCUAACUUCGUGCCAGCAGCCGCGGUAAUACGAAGGGGGCUAGCGUUGCUCGGAAUCACUGGGCGUAAAGGGUGCGUAGGCGGGUCUUUAAGUCAGGGGUGAAAUCCUGGAGCUCAACUCCAGAACUGCCUUUGAUACUGAAGAUCCUGAGUUCGGGAGAGGUGAGUGGAACUGCGAGUGUAGAGGUGAAAUUCGUAGA
rnacentral:rRNA from 1 species